GGCUCAGGACGAACGCUGGCGGCGUGCUUAACACAUGCAAGUCGAACGCUGAAGCUUGGUGCUUGCACUGGGUGGAUGAGUGGCGAACGGGUGAGUAAUACGUGAGUAACCUGCCCUUGACUCUGGGAUAAGCCUGGGAAACUGGGUCUAAUACUGGAUACGACAUGUCACUGCAUGGUGGUGUGUGGAAAGGGUUUUACUGGUUUUGGAUGGGCUCACGGCCUAUCAGCUUGUUGGUGGGGUAAUGGCCUACCAAGGCGACGACGGGUAGCCGGCCUGAGAGGGUGACCGGCCACACUGGGACUGAGACACGGCCCAGACUCCUACGGGAGGCAGCAGUGGGGAAUAUUGCACAAUGGGCGGAAGCCUGAUGCAGCGACGCCGCGUGAGGGAUGACGGCCUUCGGGUUGUAAACCUCUUUCAGCACGGAAGAAGCGAGAGUGACGGUACGUGCAGAAGAAGCGCCGGCUAACUACGUGCCAGCAGCCGCGGUAAUACGUAGGGCGCAAGCGUUGUCCGGAAUUAUUGGGCGUAAAGAGCUCGUAGGCGGUUUGUCGCGUCUGCUGUGAAAGCCCGGGGCUUAACCCCGGGUGUGCAGUGGGUACGGGCAGACUUGAGUGCAGUAGGGGAGACUGGAAUUCCUGGUGUAGCGGUGAAAUGCGCAGAUAUCAGGAAGAACACCGAUGGCGAAGGCAGGUCUCUGGGCUGUUACUGACGC
rnacentral:rRNA from 1 species